UCCGUGAUUAGAGAAGUUAUCUAUAUGUGAUGGUGUACUUGGCGAAAAUAUAAUAGGCACGUGACAACGAAGGACCACAUUUUUGCAUAAACAUUGACUAACAUAUUGGAUGAUGAUUACUAUGCUAUAUAAACAAUAAAAUUCCUCGUCACAAUCUCGAAAUCAACGCCCCAAGAAAAAGCCUGGUAAAGAGUGGCGUAGACAAUGACGGGACAUGCUCACCCGGAAAAUUUUGAAUUUUAG